CCCCCCCCCCCCCCCCGCCGUAUGGUGGUGGCGGUGACGGGUUUCAAACGUAGUAUCAUCUUAUGAGGGAUACAACACCGGUGGUGGAGACAAAAACGAGCUACGCAAGAGCUGCAACCUUAGUAGCGAGCUUAGUGAUGCAUCAUAUGCACAUGUCAAAGCAGAAUCCUGAGUAAUUGCAAGUGGAGACGAGUCCGCCAUUGGCAGCUAGGAUGAGGUACAACAAAGGAGGAGACAAGAUGUCGAGCACUUACGAUCUCGUCGAAAAGAUGCAUUUCUUAUAUGUAAGUGUUGUAAAAGCUAGAGAUCUUCCUAUAAUGGAUGUCCCCGGGAGUUUAGAUCCUUAUGUAGAAGUGAAGUUAGAGAACUACAAGGGGAAGACAAAGCACCACGAGAAGAAUCAAAAUCCGACAUGGCAUCAGAUUUUCGCCUUUUCGAUGGAGAGGUUACAAUCGAAUUUGUUUGAAGUUGUUGUGAAAGAUAAGGAUUGCUGCUAUUCUGCUGUUGGGGUUGGUGGUGCCCUACUGAUCUUUUAGUUUUAUGCUUUACUGUUGUUGAUUGCUUGGGUGGGUUGUGAUCUCUCUAUUUUUUCAAGAGGAAGUUGUGAUCAAUGCUCUCAAGCAAUUAGCGGGACGUCAUGCGAGGAAUUGGAAGAUGAACCUGGGAAUGAUUAGAUACUUAGCUGCUUGCUUCUUUGGUCGAUUAGAUUAGGAUAGUACUGUAUAGGAAUUUGCAGUCUUCCGCAUUACUACUUGUAACCGUAGCUCUCUGUAACUUCUAUUUGGGGUUCCUCUGUUGGGUGUGGGUGGCUUUUGCUUUGAUCCAUGCAGUAGCCUUUUCUUAUAUACAACUUAUGUAAUAAAAGAUGCAAUCGUUCUUUAUGUGUCAUUAUAAAUUUUCCAGAUGAGAGUAUUGAUAUUUCGAAAAUACUAAAGAAUACGGAGGGUUAUGGGUAGCCGAAUAUCAAACCUAAACUCAGAAUUCUAACUCUCAAAGAUUAUAUCAUAGACUCAUAUUCUAAAUUGAACUUCAAACCUAAAUAGUGGACCAUAAACCCAAUUUAAUACUUACCACUAUGUUAUAAAUAGUAAACACUAAACAAGGUAAGUAUUGAGUUGGUCGGCGUUCGUCUGUCUGUUCUGGUCGCUUCGACGCAAUGUCCCACCUACCGGCGAGCCAAUCUUCGAUUCAAGGUAUGUACUGAGCAAAACCCUAAUUUUUUCAAAUUUGGGAAUUUUAUUGAUUGAGUUAAGGGUCUAGGGUUCCUAGUGCAUACCAAAAACCAUCAAUUACAUAAUAAAAAGGUUGAAACACCCUAAACGUCUAGCAUUUAUUAAAUGACUAAAUUGCCCUCCAGGGACUUGUUGAAUAGGAAUUCAAAUCUUCUUUUAAGUAAACAAGGAAAAUAACAUAAAACAAACUUAACUACUUUAACAAACUACGGAAACUGUUAUAACAUAAGGUCAACAAAUGAAAUCAAGUCUCGUUCUAAAUACUUUAAAACAAAUAAUUAUAUCUGAAAACUAAGUCCAUCACUCCAUAUCCUGAAUCAACUCAACUUUGCUCCAACAUCAACUUACAGAACACCCUGGUGGGUGGUUUGGGGUCCGUCUUUCAUGCUGUAAUCUUAACAAUUAAUAUAUUAACAUAAUUAUUAUACUGCUAAGAUAGCAUUCGCAUUAAACCUCAUCUUAUCAUAAAGAGUUAACAUUCAUUUCCUUCACUACUCAACCAUUACUAAGGUUGUCUAACUUCUACUAGCAUCAUCUUUCUAGGAUAUCAUGACUAUAGGGCGUCCCCUAAACUCAUCUAACUAAACCAACCAUCUCUUUGUCGGACUUAAGAUAACACUGUGGGUCUUUGGUGGCCUAUCACUAUCAUGUGGGUCUCUAGGGGCCGAAUAACUAAUAACGGAUCUCUGGUGGUCCUAAAUGUUAACAUUGGAUCUCUGGUGGCCUAAUUGAUAACACUGGGUCUCUAGUGGCCCAAUUGGUUAAGCCUUGGACCUCUAGUGGUCCAAGGUCAUACACUGACAUUCUGGAUCCGCAGUCUAGUCAGAGUGGUACAUGCUGCGGCAUCACUUGACUACUAGAUUGUCUACUAAAGGUCUAGACUUAUGGUAGGUCUAGAGUGGUAAAUGCUAAAGACUUUAACGGCGGCCAUGAUAUCGUUAUUCAAUACACUAAUGUUAAACUUGACAUCAGCUUCAUAAUGCCCGCUGUUAAAUGUCAAACACAGAAAUCAAAUUUUCUGGUUUCUGCUUGUUCCCUGUUAUCAUUGGCCGCUGUUUUGCUAUUCGUUGUGCACAAUUAAACAUUUUUAACGAAAAAGAGAUUCAUACCAUGAAAUAGAAAUCAUUCCAUCAUCCAGAAGAUAGAAACAUCAUAGAAAUUCAAGUACUAAUAACUAGAAAUCACUCCAUCAUUCCAUCAAUCCAUCACUACUAGCUAGCUACUAAUAAUUAUCACUACUCCAAAGCAUUCUUGUGAUCCGCUGCUUCUUCUUCUUCCUCUUCUUCUCUAUGAUAUGGUAUGUGCAAAUCCUUGUCCAAUCGCUUCUUUCCAACACUCUUCUUUUGUCCCAUACUAGUAGGAUUUCUAACACUAAUGUCAGAACUAGUUCUAUUAGCAUUGAGAGUUUUGAAAGCUUUACUCAUCUCCUUUAGCACCGGACGAAGUUCAACUCCAUCCCGGGAUAAAAACUUCAACAUUUCUGAUGUGAACGGCUUGAAGAAUGUUGGAUUGAGUAUUGGAUCAACAGGAGCGGAAAAAGAAGCACCACCACUUCUCUUAAGUUUCUUCUAGAACUGAAAUAGAAAAAAUAGUAAAUUUGGUAAAUUAUUUACAUGACCUAUUAUUAUUCUCAUACUCUUCCAUCUGCAAAAUUAAUAACUACACCAACAUUGACUCAAGGCAGCAUAUUCACUAUCAAAGUAUAACAAAGGCAAUAACAUCAUCAUAUUCACUACCAAAUCAUCCUAAUCAUUUCAUAAUCUAAGUCACUUACUUUCUUUGGAUUCGCCCCAUGGUCUAGACCUCACACUCGGCCUGCUUUCUCUCCACUAGGAUAAUUUUGACCAACUGCAUCAUUUGGAUCAAAUCCUAGAGCAGUGUCCGGAUCAUCCAUGAAUGCCCUAACUUCCUUCGGCAAGCAAUAAGUAAUCAAGUUCAUAAAUAGUUACAUAUAUGUCAUAUAAACCAUACAUGAACACCAAAGCAUAAUAAUCAAGUAUCACUUACACUUUUCUUUUCUGUUGUAGUCAUGGGAUAGGACUUCCCAUUAGCCUUCAUGUGAGUGGCGAGAAAUAGAUCUCCCUUGCCUACUGGACCACCUUGUGCCCUCUCCUUUACAAAUAAUGUUAGUAGUAGUCAGUAUAAUAAACUUAUCCAUAUCGAUAUACUAUUUCUAAUUAAGAGUAUAAUGAUAUUAUUACCAUUUCUUUCUUCUUUCGAUCGAACGACUUUGAACCAGAAGUAUGGUACACAUCUUGAGCAGCUCUGUUCUCUUUGUUAGCGGCAGAACAUUUUUGGACAAUGUUCAAUUACCAAAUCAAAAGUAGGUGCGGGAAAGAUGUUCAAUAUUUAGCAAAUCCUAUAAGAUCACUUACAAUUAAUUUUUUGCCACACUUGUAUUUGCAGAAGGCAUCCUAAUCACGUUUGUCAACCCCUUUUGUGGGAAUUUUGGACUUGUUGAUCUUCGAAUCAUCAUAGAUAUUACAUUCUGCUUCUUCCAAAGCCCAAUUCGAUACUCCCUCCACUUUUUGGCCAGGUCUAGCAUGAUGAAACGUUGCAUUGCUUCAUGAUGGACUUCGUCCCAGGUGAACCUUGGUUUGAAGUAGAUGAGAUGUAUAGUUAGUGGAUGAAUUUCAAUUUUUUUGAAGAACAAACAUAUAUGAAAAUCCGUACCGCAAUCAUCUCAUCCCAAAAGUGCUCCCUUGCUCUCUAAAUCUAUGACAUGCCAAUCCUCGACCCUGAGUGGUAGGUAACCUUCAUGUUUUGCACACUUCCCAAGGAACUGGCGCAAGUAUCCGCCACCCUCCCCAGGUGGAAGCCCAAAUGAGUCAAUGUGUAUCAUUAUCUUCUUUCCAUUACGCCCUAACUUUGCCCAAUCUUUUGUCUUCCAAGCCUCGAUCCCUAAAUCUUCAUCAUUCGCAUCUGAAACAAAUUCAUAACCAACUCAAUAAAUUGCUGAAAACCUACCAAGUGUAAUUUAUAUAAUUCAAAUGCAUGUUCAUAUAUUACCAACUAGGUGUACAUACCACCAUUGCCUUUGUUCCUUCUUGGGACGACGUUCAUCAUCACCUCCAUCACCAGCUCCACUUGCACCACCCAAGCUGGGACCUCCAUCCAUCACAUGUGCAUCACUAAAUUUUAUAGCCUUUUUCUUGAGGACAAGCGAAGCUUAAGUGAGAGGUUAUUUGAUGAAGUUUGAUUUAUCUCAUUCAUCACCCUCCUUUAAGCGACAUUUCAUGCAUAAUUGUGUUGAUUUGGGUGGAAGUUUAGGGUGUUUUGUGCAUUUGUAGCUUCUAUAUCAAUUUAGUGUCUCAGACUCAUUUGGGGUCCAUUUGAUGUCGUUUUGGAGUGUUUUAGAUAGAUUUCAGGUACAUAAUGAUAUCAAGGCACUAUUCAGAGCAAUACAUGCAUGCGUAGACGAGACAGGAUGGACCGAGGAGUCAAAGAAAACAAAUUUUGGACCGCUGCCAGCAUUGGCGCCUUAGGUUAGUCAAUAAUUGCGUAUGCCUAGGCAAACUAUUUGACAAGUCUUAAGCACCAAGGUUGACAACAUCGCCUGGAAAUCUUGUUACAUAUUAUUGUGCCUUAGACUUGUCAAUAAUUGCGCCUAAGCAAGGCGCAAUGUUUGACCAAGGUAAUGAUGUUUUCUCUCUUAUGUCUUUCUCUAACUACUUUUUUCUCAACUCCAUAUCAUGUUUUCCCUCAUUUGAGGUCCAUCCAUCCGAUCUGGAUGUUAUAAUUCACCUCUUUAAUAGGGUUGAUAUUACCUGCAACAAACAAGAAUUAAAUGGCAACAAACGAAAAAAGAUCUAAAGCCAUGAUAAUAUUAAAAUUCAAAUCUUCAACCACCACUUCAAAGGAAUUAAUCAAAACGAAGGAUUAUGGCUGGUAUGUAACAGAGGAUGCAUAUAGUUCACAGACUACCUUGCAUUACUCUAAUUUAUCUAAUGAACCUCAUUAAGAACCCCCCCCCCCCCCCCCCCCCCCCCCCCCCCCCCCCCCCCCCCCCCCCCCCCCCCCCCCCCCCCCCCCCCCCCCCCCCCCCCCCCCCCCCCCCCCCCCCCCCCCCCCCCCCCCCCCCCCCCCCCCCCCCCCCCCCCCCCCCCCCCCCCCCCCCCCCCCCCCCCCCCCCCCCCUCUACCCUUUUGUGUUGCAUAAGAUGGGAUAUAAGUAUUAUACCCCGGCUCGAUGUGUAAAAAGACCUGCAAAACUUCACAGCAAACUAAUCACCCAGAAAUCCCAAUACUCCCCG
rnacentral:lncRNA from 1 species